UUUAGUCAAGGGUAUACGAGCAGCUGUGCUCCCCUGCUAGAACCUCCAAACAAGCUCUCAGACAUUGAAGUUGCUUAUUUGUGUAUGAUGAGUGGGUU
rnacentral:sRNA from 1 species